GAUGAACGCUGGCGGCGUGCUUAACACAUGCAAGUCGAGCGAGAUUAUUCUUCGGAGUAGUCUAGCGGCGGACGGGUGAGUAACACGUGGGCAACCUGCCUUGUAGAGGGGGAUAGCCUUCCGAAAGGAAGAUUAAUACCGCAUAAUGUUAUUGAAAGGCAUCUUUCGAUAAUCAAAGGAGCAAUCCGCUACAAGAUGGGCCCGCGGCGCAUUAGCUAGUUGGUGAGGUAACGGCUCACCAAGGCGACGAUGCGUAGCCGACCUGAGAGGGUGAUCGGCCACAUUGGGACUGAGACACGGCCCAGACUCCUACGGGAGGCAGCAGUGGGGAAUAUUGCACAAUGGGGGAAACCCUGAUGCAGCAACGCCGCGUGAGUGAUGACGGCCUUCGGGUUGUAAAGCUCUGUCUUUGGGGACGAUAAUGACGGUACCCAAGGAGGAAGUCACGGCUAACUACGUGCCAGCCGCCGCGGUAA
rnacentral:rRNA from 1 species